rnacentral:rRNA from 1 species
CAGAGGUGGCAAGCGUUGUUCGGAAUUACUGGGCGUAAAGGGCGCGUAGGUGGUCUUGUCAGUCAGACGUGAAAUCCCCAGGCUUAACCUGGGAACUGCGUCUGAUACUACGAGACUUGAGUUCGGGAGAGGGAUGUGGAAUUCCAGGUGUAGCGGUGAAAUGCGGAGAUAUCUGGAGGAACACCGGUGGCGAAGGCGGCAUCCUGGACCGAAACUGACACUGAUGCGCGAAAGCCAGGGGAGCAAACGGGAUUAGAUACCCCGGUAGUCCUGGCCCUAAACGAUGAGUGCUUGGUGUGGCGGGUAUCGAUCCCUGCCGUGCCGAAGCUAACGCAUUAAGCACUCCGCCUGGGGAGUACGGUCGCAAGGCUG